GCUAACAGAAGCAAACUUCUUUGCCUCUUUGCCAAUUUUAAGACUGACAAAGAGGAUGAGCAGUUUGAGGCCAACAGAGCGCAAGCUGUCAAAGAAAUUGCAGCCCUUGAACCUACGGACCACAAAUAAAUCGCAGCCCUCGGACCUGAGGAACGCUGUUGAACUCGACACUAGUUAUUUUCUGAGUUGUUGAGCUCUGUUUUAUCUUUAAUACAAAAAUGGUGUUUCUCUACUGAGCAAUAUUUUUAUUGAAUCUUCACCUGCUUUUGUCAGUGCCAUUUCUUCUCAUUCAGUUCUGGUAUUUCACAUUGCUGAAUGUAAAGUGUAUCAUUUGAACAAUGCUCUCAUAGAUUUGAGCAGUUUUAAAGAACUUUCUUCAUUUUGCUAGUGUA